rnacentral:lncRNA from 1 species
GAGGAAGGCGGGUUCCUGGCUCGGCUCUACCACCAUGGAUCUAGGUGGGCUCAAUGUCAUCACAAGGGUGCUUAAGAGGGAAAGAGGAAGCCAUGAGGGUCAGAGUCAAAGGAAGACUUGAAGAUACUACACUGCGGACUUUACAGAUGAAGGAAGGGGCGAAAACCAAGAAUGUGGGAAGCCUCUAGAAGCUAGAGAAGGCAAGGAAACAAAUUUUCCACUAGAGCCUCCAGAAGGAACACAGCCCUGCUGACCCACUGUAAUGUCUGACCUCUAGAUGUGUAAGGGUAGUAAGACUGAAAGUCUCAGAAAGGCACUGUUACAUUCUUAUUCCACAACUAUGCAACUCGAAACUGGGGUCCUCAGCAGUGAGCGAGGGGUGAGAGAAGACACUGUAUAAACAUGGCACAUCCUCCUGGAAAGUCAACUUUACUCAAAGGUUCUUACACACAGUGACAGCUAGCAGAGUCUAAAAUGCUGACAUUAUGACUUAGAGAUGUGAUAAAGAGAAACAUCUACUGCAUUUUCUGUACCAAAAGCUCUUACUUCACUGGGGAGAUUUUUCACACGGGAGGAAAAGGACAAGUGGACUAUCACCUAUGUGGUCAGCUUACAACCUGAAUUUCUUGGAAAUGACCUAAUUUAAUUAUCUUCAUGGAUCUCCUUUGCUCUUUGAAUGAAGAGUAGUCAGCUAUUUUCUUUUUUUUUUUUUGAAUGGGGCUCUUGAGUGUCAGUUGCCAUUUUAAUGAAGUAGUGAUUUGGGCCCUUUCCUGAUAAUACAAGAGUUAGGUGUCAUGCUAGUUGGCUUGGCCCCUCUUAUUCCUCCAGUAUCCCUGAUAGGUCAGAUCAGAGUGAUUCUGGAGGGAAAGUAUGUUUCACUGUGGAUAUGUACAAUGGCAAUUCCCAGUUCUGGGAUUUAACUUAAUUCAAUUAUUCACAUGAUGAGCAGCAUCCACACACUCCUGGUAAAAUUUGAUAAAAUGCUGUAGCAUCAAGAUGCUUUUGUAGAGGCCUCUCUGCCAUUACCUGUUUUCUUGACUGGCAUUAAUCUCUACCAAAGCUAGAGACUUGAGCAUCAUCCUGAAUUCGGAGUCAUAAUCUGAUAGCUACAGGUCAAAGUUGGCCCAACGAUGUGUUGUUGGGAGUACCUUGAGCUUUGAAAAAAUAAAUAAAAGUAAUUAUCAACCCUGGAAAA